rnacentral:lncRNA from 1 species
ACUAAGACAUUAAAGGGUUAAUCUCAUACAGGUUUCUGUAAACGUAGUAAAUUAUAAAUAAAUUUCUAUAAAGUUCAAGUUUUAUAUAUUAUUUUUAUAACAAUUAUAAUAUUUUCGAAUAUGUCUCGACCGUUAGAAUCCGCUAGAAAACUUUAAUAAAUCAUAGAUUAAAUACUUAAUUCUGAUUAAUUUAUGAGAUAACUUGACAUUUUUGCCCUUCUAACUUUUGGAGGGAUAUAUUUAUGAUGACAAAAUUAAAAUUUUACUUAAAAUAUAAACAGUUGUAUAACGGUAACAAGCCAGAGAAACAUAUUUGAAAAUAUUAAAACAUUUGUAAGGACAAUAUAUAAAAGUUGAACUUUAUAGGGAUAUAUUGCAAUUCAAUUAAAUUGGUCUGUUGCGUUAUAAUUUAUU